GACGAACGCUGGCGGCGUGCUUAACACAUGCAAGUCGAGCGGUAAGGCCCUUUCGGGGGUACACGAGCGGCGAACGGGUGAGUAACGACGUGGGUGACCUGCCCUUAGCUCUGGGAUAAGCCUGGGAAACUGGGUCUAAUACCGGAUAUGACUCCAUGACGCAUGUUGUGGGGUGGAAAGCCUUGUGCGGCUAGGGAUGGGCCCGCGGCCUAUCAGCUUGUUGGUGGGGUGAUGGCCUACCAAGGCGACGACGGGUAGCCGGCCUGAGAGGGCGACCGGCCACACUGGGACUGAGACACGGCCCAGACUCCUACGGGAGG
rnacentral:rRNA from 1 species